AAUACCGCAUACGGCCUACGGGAGAAAGCAGGGGACCUUCGGGCCUUGCGCUAUCAGAUGAGCCUAGGUCGGAUUAGCUAGUUGGUGAGGUAAUGGCUCACCAAGGCUACGAUCCGUAACUGGUCUGAGAGGAUGAUCAGUCACACUGGAACUGAGACACGGUCCAGACUCCUACGGGAGGCAGCAGUGGGGAAUAUUGGACAAUGGGCGAAAGCCUGAUCCAGCCAAGGCGCGUGUGUGAAGAAGGUCUUCGGA
rnacentral:rRNA from 1 species